rnacentral:misc_RNA from 1 species
GAUGAAGAACGUAGCGAAAUGCGAUAAGUAAUGUGAAUUGCAGAAUUCAGUGAAUCAUCGAAUCUUUGAACGCACAUUGCGCCCCCUGGUAUUCCGGGGGGCAUGUCUGUUCGAGCGUCAUUUCAACCCUCAAGCUCUGCUUGGUAUUGAGUCCAUGUCAGCAAUGGCAGGCUCCAAAAUCAGUGGCGGCGCCGCUGGGUCCUGAACGUAGUAAUAUCUCUCGUUACAGGUGCUCGGCGUGCUUCUGCCAAAACCCCAAUUUUUCUAUGGUUGACCUCGGAUCAGGUAGGGAUACCCGCUGAACUUAAGCAUAUCAAUAAGCGGAGGA